rnacentral:rRNA from 1 species
GUAGGUGGCAAGCGUUGUCCGGAAUUAUUGGGCGUAAAGCGCGCGCAGGUGGUUCUUUAAGUCUGAUGUGAAAGCCCCCGGCUCAACCGGGGAGGGUCAUUGGAAACUGGGGAACUUGAGUGCAGGAGAGGAAAGUGGAAUUCCACGUGUAGCGGUGAAAUGCGUAGAUAUGUGGAGGAACACCAGUGGCGGAGGCGACUUUCUGGCCUGUAACUGACACUGAGGCGCGAAAGCGUGGGGAGCAAACAGGGAUUAGAUACCCUGGUAGUCCACGCCGUAAACGAUGAGUGCUAAGUGUUGGGGGGGUUUCCCGCCCCUCAGUGCUGCAGCUAACGCAUUAAGCACUCCGCCUGGGGAGUACGGUCGCAAGACUG